rnacentral:rRNA from 1 species
GACGAACGCUGGCGGCGUGCUUAACACAUGCAAGUCGAACGGAAAGGCCCUGCUUUUGUGGGGUGCUCGAGUGGCGAACGGGUGAGUAACACGUGAGUAACCUGCCCUUGACUUUGGGAUAACUUCAGGAAACUGGGGCUAAUACCGGAUAGGAGCUCCUGCUGCAUGGUGGGGGUUGGAAAGUUUCGGCGGUUGGGGAUGGACUCGCGGCUUAUCAGCUUGUUGGUGGGGUAGUGGCUUACCGAGGCUUUGACGGGUAGCCGGCCUGAGAGGGUGACCGGCCAUGUGGGUGCUGAGAUGCGCCCCAGACUCCUAGGGGGAGCAGCAGGGGGUAAUGUUCCACAGGGGGCGGACUGAUGAAGCAGCACCGCGGGGGGGGUGAUGGCCGUCUGGGGGUUGAAAACCGUUUGCAGGUGUGACGCAGCGUGAGACGGUAUAUGGAGAAGAAGAGCACGGGAUAUAUGUG